rnacentral:rRNA from 1 species
GCGAACUGGUUUCCUUGAGUACGCACAAAGUGGGCGGAAUUCGUGGUGUAGCGGUGAAAUGCUUAGAUAUCACGAAGAACUCCGAUUGCGAAGGCAGCUCACUGGAGCGCAACUGACGCUGAAGCUCGAAAGUGCGGGUAUCGAACAGGAUUAGAUACCCUGGUAGUCCGCACGGUAAACGAUGGAUGCCCGCUGUUGGUCUGAAUAGGUCAGCGGCCAAGCGAAAGCAUUAAGCAUCCCACCUGGGGAGUACGCCGGCAACGGUGAAACUCAAAGGAAUUGACGGGGGCCCGCACAAGCGGAGGAACAUGUGGUUUAAUUCGAUGAUACGCGAGGAACCUUACCCGGGCUUGAAUUGCAGAGGAAGGAUUUGGAGACAAUGACGCCCUUCGGGGUCUCUGUGAAGGUGCUGCAUGGUUGUCGUCAGCUCGUGCCGUGAGGUGUCGGCUUAAGUGCCAUAACGAGCGCAACCCCUCUCCUUAGUUGCCAUCAGGUCAUGCUGGGCACUCUGGGGACACUGCCACCGUAAGGUGUGAGGAAGGUGGGGAUGACGUCAAAUCAGCACGGCCCUUACGUCCGGGGCUACACACGUGUUACAAUGGCAGGUACAGAGAGACGGUCCCUUGCAAAAGGGAUCAAAUCCUCAAAGCCUGUCUCAGUUCGGACUGGGGUCUGCAACCCGACCCCACGAAGCUGGAUUCGCUAGUAAUCGCGCAUCAGCCAUGGCGCGGUGAAUACGUUCCCGGGCCUUGCACACACCGCCCGUCAAG